rnacentral:rRNA from 1 species
UACAGAGGGUGCGAGCGUUAAUCGGAAUUACUGGGCGUAAAGCGUGCGUAGACGGUAGCGUAAGUCAGAUGUGAAAGCCCCGGGCUCAACCUGGGAACUGCAUUUGAGACUGCUCUGCUCGGGUGCGGAAGAGGGAAGCGGAAUUUCCGGUGUAGCGGUGAAAUGCGUAGAGAUCGGGAGGAACACCUGUGGCGAAGGCGGCCCCCUGGGCCGGCCCUGACACUGAGACGCGAAGGCGUGGGGAGCGAGCGGG